CUACGGGCCGCAGCAGUGGGGAAUAUUGCACAAUGGGCGCAAGCCUGAUGCAGCCAUGCCGCGUGUAUGAAGAAGGCCUUCGGGUUGUAAAGUACUUUCAGCGGGGAGGAAGGGAGUAAAGUUAAUACCUUUGCUCAUUGACGUUACCCGCAGAAGAAGCACCGGCUAACUCCGUGCCAGCAGCCGCGGUAAUACGGAGAGUGCAAGCGUUAAUCGGAAUUACUGGGCGUAAAGCGCACGCCGGCGGUUUGUUAAGUCAGAUGUGAAAUCCCCGGGCUCAACCUGGGAACUGCAUCUGAUACUGGCAAGCUUGAGUCUCGUAGAGGGGGGUAGAAUUCCAGGUGCAGCGGUGAAAUGCGUAGAGAUCUGGAGGAAUACCGGUGGCGAAGGCGGCCCCCUGGACGAAGACUGACGCUCAGGUGCGAAAGCGUGGGGAGCAAACAGGAUUAGAUACCCGUGUAGUC
rnacentral:rRNA from 1 species